GCCCUACGGCUGAUGAGCAACAACGCCCCUACUCAAGAGAGGGUCCUUGUUGGGCGCCCGUGCUGCCCUUGAGACGCUCGAGGCAGACCUCCAGAAGGAGGAAGCAAGCCUCUGAGUGAAGCGCCAGCGCCUAGUGGAAGAAUAAAAAUAGCUUCAGGUGGCCACAAAGCUGGUCCGCGGGUAGGAGGACACCAUGUGGGACAAGCGUGAUAGGACUACGAGGCAUGCCAUGGAGAUCUGGGAGAGCACCAUUUGGGAUGCGAACGAGGCCAACCAGCAGCAUCAAGAGGCAGAGGCCCGUGAGAAGGUUGUGCUGGAGCAGGUCUCCUUGCGGGAGCAGGAGCUCCGAACGCAGGAAGAGGUAGCCGUAGUUUGUGAGAGGCAGCUCGCUUCCCGCGAGGAGGAUCUCGCCAAGAAGGAGGAGGUCCUCGGAGUUCGCGAGGGUGAUAUGGAGAUACGAGUGUCAUGGUUUUGUCACCAUAGAUGUCAUCAUGAUAUGACUUAGUCUAGGAGCCAUCGCAACUAGGUGGCUGCUUGGAUGGGGUUGAUCGGGAACACAUGACUAGGGCUUACCCAGGUUCAGCCCCUCCAAUGGAAGUAAAAGCCUACGUCCUUUUUUUGGUGUUAUUGAUGAUGACCUCGAUUACAAGGGUGUGGAAUCGCUAACCUAGCUCUCGAGGGUUUGUAACUUGUCAUAUCUAUCUCACGGGCUCCCCUUUAUAUAUACGUUGAGCUUAUGAGAUUACAAUACAGUCCGGGUUGCAACAUGACCAGUGACCUAGUCUAGUU
rnacentral:lncRNA from 1 species